rnacentral:rRNA from 1 species
UACAGAGGGUGCGAGCGUUGUUCGGAAUUAUUGGGCGUAAAGGGCGCGUAGGCGGCGCGGUAAGUCACCUGUGAAAUCUCCUGGCUCAACUGGGAGCUUGCAGGCGAAACUGCCGUGCUGGAGUGUGGGAGAGGUGCGUGGAAUUCCUGGUGUAGCGGUGAAAUGCGUAGAUAUCAGGAGGAACACCUGUGGCGAAAGCGGCGCACUGGACCGCAACUGACGCUGAGGCGCGAAAGCUAGGGGAGCAAACAGG